CUACGUAUAACCGAGAUACGGUGAACACGUUUGGAUUUGGUCAUCGAGUUGGAGCCUACUUUAAUGGCGAUCUAGAUCUCGAAUUUCUUCCAGGAGACGGUUCCAAACCUGAUAUAUCCCCCGUAAAGCAAUCCAAAACCAAUCAAAAGCCAGUUGAACAACGUAAUUAACACGGCUGCACGGUUCAAGCCUCCUUUCAGAUUCUUGUCUUCACUGCUUUGUGCUCAAAAGCCCUGGAUGAUUACUUGGGAGAAGAAUUGAUUCUUAUCGUUGAUCAUCGUCAUUUAUGAUCUGAGUGGAAAUAAAUUCGUUUAAGAAUUUGUUUUUGAUCACAAACAGUCUGUGGGCGGGAUCUGACUCUCUAAUUCUGGAUUUUCUUAGAUAAAGUAGUCGAACUUGAUCUUCUGGUAGGUCUGGGACAGGAAAAUGCGGGAAAAGCUGGCAACUUUUGUGUGUGUUUGGUUUUUCCUUUGUGGGGGAUGCGUGGGUAGGUUUGUGGUGGAAAAGAACAGCUUGAAGGUGACUUCACCGGACUCGUUGAAGAAUGUAUACGAAUGUGCAAUUGGGAAUUUUGGGGUUCCUCAAUAUGGAGGGACCUUGGUUGGCACUGUGAUUUACCCAAAAGCCAAUCAAAAGGGAUGCAAGAGCUUCGACGAUCAUGACAUCUCCUUCAAAUCCAAGCCCGGUGGCUUUCCCAUCUUUCUUCUUGUCGAUCGAGGAGAUUGUUAUUUCACCUUGAAGGCAUGGAAUGCACAGAAUGCUGGAGGAGCAGCUAUUCUAGUUGCAGACGACAGAAUUGAACCUUUGAUCACCAUGGACGCCCCGGAAGAAGAUGAUGCACAGUCAGAUUAUCUGCAAAAGAUAAACAUCCCUGCAGCACUAAUAAGCAAAUCUUUUGGGGAUAGCAUCAAGAAAGCUCUAUCUAGUGGUGAGAUGGUUACCAUCAAUCUUGACUGGAGAGAGUCUCUUCCACAUCCUGAUGACCGAGUUGAAUAUGAAUUCUGGACAAAUAGCAAUGACGAAUGUGGGCCUAAAUGUGACAGCCAGAUUGAAUUUGUCAAGAGCUUCAAAGGUGCAGCUCAGAUUCUUGAAAAGAAUGGCUACACUCAGUUUACUCCGCACUACAUAACCUGGUAUUGUCCAGAAGCCUUCCUCUUGAGCAGACAGUGCAAGUCUCAGUGCAUCAACCAUGGAAGAUACUGUGCUCCAGAUCCAGAACAGGACUUCACCAUAGGGUAUGAUGGGAAGGAUGUUGUUGUUCAGAAUUUGCGGCAAGCUUGCCUUUUCAAGGCGGCCAAUGAAAGUGGGAAACCCUGGCUUUGGUGGGACUACGUGACUGACUUUGAAAUUCGUUGUCCAAUGAGAGAGAAGAAGUAUAACAAAGAGUGCGCAGAUCAAGUUAUCAAAUCCCUUGGUAUUGAUGUCAAGCAGAUUGACAAGUGCAUAGGAGAUCCUAAUGCAGAUGUUGACAACCCAGUACUCAAGGCUGAGCAGGAAGCACAGAUUGGCAGUGGCUCACGUGGGGAUGUGACUAUAUUGCCAACUCUUGUUGUGAACAACCGGCAAUAUAGAGGUAAGCUGGAAAAAAGUGCAAUUCUGAAAGCCAUCUGUUCAGGUUUUAAGGAGACCACGGAGCCUUCCAUUUGUUUAACUGAAGAUAUAGAAACUAAUGAGUGUCUAGAAAACAAUGGUGGGUGCUGGCAGGAUCAGGCUGCUAACAUCACUGCAUGCCGGGACACUUUCCGGGGAAGAGUGUGUGAAUGCCCCAUUGUGCAGGGUGUAAAGUUUGUUGGUGAUGGCUAUACAAAUUGCCGAGCUUCUGGUGCUUUACGGUGUGCAAUAAACAAUGGAGGGUGUUGGAAGAAGAACCAGGAUGGAAGGAGUUAUUCUGCUUGCAUUGAUGACCAUUCAAAAGGUUGCAAGUGUCCACCGGGAUUCAAGGGUGAUGGGAUGAAGACUUGUGAAGAUAUUGAUGAAUGCAAAGAAAAGUUAGCCUGCCAAUGCCCACAGUGCAAAUGCAAGAAUACCUGGGGCAGUUAUGAGUGCAGCUGUAGCGGCAGUUUAUUGUACAUGCGAGAACACGACACGUGCAUAGGUAAGGAUGCCAAUACAGGGCUCAGCGGGGGAUUUAUUUGGUUUAUUGUUCUUGGAUUAGCUGCUGCCGGGGUAGGUGGAUAUGCAAUUUACAAGUACAGAAUCCGGAGCUACAUGGACUCUGAGAUUCGGGCUAUCAUGGCACAAUACAUGCCACUGGAUAAUCAAGGAGAGGUCCCAAAUCACAUGGUCAGCCAUGGAGGGGUAUGAAGAUGAGGCUUACAUUAUUGGGAACUGCACGCGAGAAAUCCACAACUCCAGGGACGGUUGGACCAAGAGUGGGGGCUCGUGGAGGAUAAGUAAGGAGGAGCGUAAGUCAAGCGGCAACUCUGACCUCUUAGACAAAGACAAAUUGGUUGUUCCAGGCUUCCAGCCCAACUAGGCUGAGACAAAAGCGCUGAGCAUAAUGGGCUGAAACAUCUCAUUGUCAUUACCCUCGAAGAUUUUUGACUUCUCUCUCUCUCUCUCUCUCUCUAACUAACUAAUUUUUUUCUCCUCUCUCUUUUUGUACCUUAAAACAAGACAGAUUCCCACUGCCAUAUAUAUAUAUAUAUAUAUAUAUAUGUACAUAGUAAUGCACUCGCUUAUCCUUGCCACCACACGAGGUACAUGCAACUAAACAACUCUCAAUGUUUAGUUUUUUUAGGCAAGGCAACAAGCAGCGCCACACAGAUCAAGUGUCCGGAAAACUGUAUCUUUUCUAGGAAAAUGACAUAUUAAUAG